CCUACGGGAGGCAGCAGUGAGGAAUAUUGGUCAAUGGGCGCGAGCCUGAACCAGCCAAGUCGCGUGAGGGAAGACGGUCCUAUGGAUUGUAAACCUCUUUUGUCGGGGAGCAAAAGACGCCACGCGUGGCGUUCCGAGAGUACCCGAAGAAAAAGCAUCGGCUAACUCCGUGCCAGCAGCCGCGGUAAUACGGAGGAUGCGAGCGUUAUCCGGAUGUAUUGGGUUUAAAGGGUGCGCAGGCGGAAGAUGAAGUCAGCGGUAAAAUUGAGAGGCUCAACCUCUUCGAGCCGUUGAAACUGGUUUUCUUGAGUGAGCGAGAAGUAUGCGGAAUGCGUGGUGUAGCGGUGAAAUGCAUAGAUAUCACGCAGAACUCCGAGUGCGAAGGCAGCAUACCGGCGCUCAACUGACGCUCAUGCACGAAAGUGUGGGUAUCGAACAGGAUUAGAUACCCCAGUAGUC
rnacentral:rRNA from 1 species